UGGAGCAUGUGGUUUAAUUCGAAGCAACGCGAAGAACCUUACCAGGCCUUGACAUGCAGAGAACUUUCCAGAGAUGGAUUGGUGCCUUCGGGAACUCUGACACAGGUGCUGCAUGGCUGUCGUCAGCUCGUGUCGUGAGAUGUUGGGUUAAGUCCCGCAACGAGCGCAACCCUUGCCUUUAGUUGCCAGCAGUUCGGCUGGGCACUCUAAAGGGACUGCCGGUGUUAAACCGGAGGAAGGUGGGGAUGACGUCAAGUCCUCAUGGCCUUUAUGACCAGGGCUACACACGUACUACAAUGGCCGAUACAAAGGGCAGCGACACUGCGAGGUGAAGCCAAUCCCGUAAAAUCGGUCUCAGUCCGGAUUGGAGUCUGCAACUCGACUCCAUGAAGUUGGAAUCGCUAGUAAUCGUGGAUCAGCAUGCCACGGUGAAUACGUUCCCGGGCCUU
rnacentral:rRNA from 1 species